rnacentral:rRNA from 1 species
AUUGAACGCUGGCGGCAUGCCUUACACAUGCAAGUCGAACGGUAACGCGGGGCAACCUGGCGACGAGUGGCGAACGGGUGAGUAACGCAUCGGAACGUACCCAGUAGUGGGGGAUAGCCCGGCGAAAGCCGGAUUAAUACCGCAUACGACCUACGGGUGAAAGCGGGGGAUCGCAAGACCUCGCGCUAUUGGAGCGGCCGAUGUCAGAUUAGGUAGUUGGUGGGGUAAAGGCCUACCAAGCCUACGAUCUGUAGCUGGUCUGAGAGGACGACCAGCCACACUGGGACUGAGACACGGCCCAGACUCCUACGGGAGGCAGCAGUGGGGAAUUUUGGACAAUGGGCGCAAGCCUGAUCCAGCCAUGCCGCGUGCGGGAAGAAGGCCUUCGGGUUGUAAACCGCUUUUGUCAGGGAAGAAACGCUCUGGGCUAAUACCCCGGGGUAAUGGCGGUACCUGAAGAAUAAGCACCGGCUAACUACGUGCCAGCCGCCGCGGUAACAC